AACUCUUAGCGGUGGAUCACUCGGCUCGUGCGUCGAUGAACGCAGCUGGCUGCGAGAACUAAUGUGAAUUGCAGGACACAUUGAUCAUCGACACUUCGAACGCAUCUUGCGUCCCCAGGUUCCUCCUGGGGCUACGCCUGUCUGAGGGUCG
rnacentral:rRNA from 1 species